rnacentral:rRNA from 1 species
UACGGAGGGUGCAAGCGUUAUCCGGAUUCACUGGGUUUAAAGGGUCCGUAGGCGGUCUUAUAAGUCAGUGGUGAAAUCUCCCCGCUCAACGGGGAAACGGCCAUUGAUACUGUAGGACUUGAAUUAUUAGGAAGUAACUAGAAUAUGUAGUGUAGCGGUGAAAUGCUUAGAGAUUACAUGGAAUACCAAUUGCGAAGGCAGGUUACUACUAAUGGAUUGACGCUGAUGGACGAAAGCGUGGGUAGCGAACAGG